GCUCCUGAGUUGUGUUUCAGCACCGAGUGUGUGGUCACCGGAUACCAUGCCUGAGAUAUAGAGAAGGAGCGCCCAUGGAACCAGUUCAUCUCCACGUCAAUAAGGAUCUAAAAAGACACUUAGCUGGAGAACUCAUUUGACAGGUAAGGCAACUGAAGUGCCCAGAAGAGAAAUGACUUCAGCAAAGUCACGCAGUCGGUGAGUGGAGGCCUGUGAAUAAGGUCUAGUUUCUCUGUCUCUCUGGUGAGUGCACUCAACUGUACAGCAGUCUACCAGUUGUUUUAGCAUAUAUAUGGUAAUGGGCUAGACAAACUAUUAGAAGGCAGUUGCUCUGAGUGUUCAUAAAACAGCAGAUUUUAGACACAAAAAUCACAGUUCAUAAAAUUCUAAAACUUGUCUUUUUGCUACACUUCUGUCACGGAUCAAAAGAUAAUAGAAGUUAAUAAGUUAAAAAAGCAGUUCAGUUCCACCAGGUAUGAUAAGCUUGUCUCUAUGCGACCUUCGUUAUUUGAUACAAACCAGAUUGUUCAGCUAAGACAGAGAAUAGCUCUUAGUUACUUAUCAAAACACCACUCGCCCAAAUUUAGAAAUGAAAAUGAAAAAGGGGGAGUUCUCCUGUGGCUCAGCAGUAAGGAACCUGACUGGUAUCCAUGAGGAUGCGGGUUCCAUCCCUAGCCCCACUCCGUGGGUUAAGGAUCUGGCAUUUCCGUGAGCAGUGGUGUAGGUUGCAGGUGUGACUCAGACCUGGCAUUACUGUGGCUGUGACCUAGGCUGGUGGCUACAGCUCUGAUUCAGCCCUAGCCUGGGAACUUCCAUAUGUCACAGAUAUGGCCCAAAAAAAGACAAAAGAAAAAAGAAAAAGGGACAGAUGGAUUUGAACUAAACAUAUCUAGAAAAGGCAACCAAGGUACCCAGUGUUGCACCGGAAUUUGGUGGAUGCUAAUAUAGUCACCCUGUGGAAACUAUUUUGGGUCCACAAAACCUGUAAGUGCAUCAUUUUUAUUAACUGAUAGCCAAGAUUGAUUUCCAUAUCAAGCUCACAGACGUAUGUUUACGGCCCUUGACUGCUUUGCUCAUACUUCAAAACAAUCCUUUACAUGGUGUCAUGCAUUGUGGUUUACUUUUUUUAUUGAAGUGUAGUUGAUUUGCAAUGUUGUGUUAGUUUUAGGUGUAUGGCAAAGUGAUUCAAUUAUACAUACAUCUGUAUCUAUGACUUCAGAUUCUUUUCUCUUAUAUGUUAUUACAAAAUGUUGAGGAGAGUUGCCUAUGCUAUGGAGUAGGUCCUUUUUGGUUAUCUAGGUUAUAUAUAGUAAUGUGUACAUGUCAAUUCCAAACUCCUAAAUUAUCCCUUCCCCCACCAUUUCCCCCAGGUGACAAAAAACUUAAUUUCCAUCCAAUUAUGACCUUGGGCCAGGGUUGCAUCUAGCAACUGGCUGGCAGGGGUGCCGGGGAAGGACGAAGGGGAGACUGACAAAGUACCUGAGCAUCACUGGAAAGUGGGGAUUGGGUGAGCCUUGGAUCUUGGUUGUUGGUUCACAGUUUUUCCUGCAUAUGUUUCAUACACCAGGCACCUUGAGGUCUGCUGGCUGUCUGUGCAUGUUUGCACCCCUCUGGGUGGCACGGGAAAGUUACCCGCUCUUCCUCAAGCCACAGUGGGGCAUGCACAACCCUAGGUCCGCCUGCCUGGAUGCCUCUUCUGACAUGCCUUGGGCUCCCGAGCCAGCCUGCUUCCCCAAGCCCUCCUUGGGGAAGGUGGCACUGGCUCUGCUCUGUCUCAGGUUUCCAGACUCUUCCAGGUCCCGGGCCUCUGGCCAAGGAGUACAGGCAGGAGAGUUUUCAGGGAACAAGCCAAGCUCUAUUGCUCUUACCUCCCCAGGCCACACACCUCCCCCAGUCUAGACUCUCUAAUUGGGAAAACUAACUCUGACUGAUUAAAACUUUUUUCAAAAUUUGCCUUACCUCUUGACCUUAACUUGUGAAGAUCCCAAAAGCCAACAUUUUCACUCUUUUUUUUUUCCCUUCUGUUGUUCAGUGCCUAUGGAUUAAUUGCUUGAAAAGAGAAAGGAUCAUGAAAUAACAACUACAGUAGCCAAAAAAAGGGAAGAUUAAUCACCAAUUAAUAUAUAAAAAUAUGUCUCCAGUAACAUGGAUACCAAUUUUAAUCUUCAUUCUAGGAGUUCCCAUUGUGGCUCAGUGGGUUAGGAACUCAACCUAGUGUCCGUGAGGAUGCAGGUUCCAUCCCUGGCCCUGCUCGGUGGGUUAAGGAUCUGGCUUUGCUGUGAGCUGCGACGUAGGUUGCAGAUGCGGCUGGGAUCCGAUAUGCCUGUGGCUCAGGCAGGCAGCUCCGGCUCCAAUUCGAUCCCUAGCUUGGGAACUUCCAUACACCACAGAUGCAGACUGUAAUUUUCUUUUUUUUUAAAUCCUCAUUUUGCCUUUCAAGUGUGAUGAAAAUUGAGGUUGGUGAAUGAUAGUCUCUCUGCGAAUCCUGGGCCAUUUCCAAAUGAGUAUAGCAACAGUUACAAAAAUCUUAGAGAAAAGCACUACUCAGCACUGAUAUAAGAGAAACUUACUGCUGCUAAACCCAUCUCCCCAGUCCCCACCCGAACUGAACUAAUUCACUGGGAGGCUAAAGGCAUCAUGAUCCAACCCACUGUGAUUUACCCCUUGGAUUGAGUGCCCCUGUUGAUUAUUUCAAUACGGUUGUUGUUUGUUUGGGUUUUUUGUUUUUGUUCUUUUUUGCUCUUUUUGUCUCUUUUAAGGCUGCACCCUCGGUAUAUGGAGGUUCCCAGGCUAGGGGUCGAAUAGGAGCUCUAGCUGCUACUCCACAGCCACAGCAACACGAGAUCCAAGCCGUUUCUGCGACCUACACCACAGCUCACGGCAACGCUGGAUCCUUAACCCACUGCGCAAGGCCAGGGGUCAAACCUGUGUCCUCAUGGAUGCUAGUCAGAGUCCUUUCCACUGAGCCAAGAUGGGAGUGCCUCAAUAGGAUUGUUUUAUUGCACUGAUCUUCAACACAGUCUUCUCAUUGGUCCUCAAUUUUUCAUCUUUACAAAAAGAUGAGAGGGGCAAGUUUCAGCCCCUUGAUUUGUAAUGUACAGAAGCUAGCACUAUGAAGCAAGGCCGUGGCCAAGCUGGGACUGGAGUUCAAGCAUCUCUAAGUUCUGUGUUCAGAGUUGUUUUCUUUUGCUUAUUUUUCUUCUUGUUUUUAGUCACUGAUUCCAGUGUUAGUCAUUAUCAGAGACUUAAGCCAAGUACACCUUAAACUUGAAGCUGUUCUUCCUUGGUAACUUCUCAGUAGAUGAUGUUCUUAGAUUGGACCCAAGAAAACUUGAUUGGAAAUCUACAGAAAUAUGUGUUUCUCCUCAGUAUGCAGCAGCCAUCACUGGGUAGAGUUAGUUUUCCUGUAUAUCUAACAGUCUUAUUUAGCAAGAAAGCAUUUCUUAGAAAAUAAUUUCUAGACUAGGGACACAAUUUUAAUUAAAUAGAAGCCAUUCGAUAUAAUAGAAGCUACAAAUAACUGCUCUGUGGAUGUUCUUCUCAGGUCAACAAUAAUUUGAUCAAACGCUUCCCAGAAAUUAUAUCCAUUUGAGGUCUCACUUCAUCAUGCAAUUGAAAGGGAAAUGAAAUUCUGAUUUGUGGACUCCUGCUAAAUGAUACAACAUAAAAGGCUAAAUGCCAAAUAAUUGAUAAGCAACUAAAAACUCAUUUAGUCUAUGUACCAUAAGCAAACAAAUAUACUUCAGAAGCAAUGACAAGACAGCUCAUAAUUAAUCUCAGAAUUACACUCUAGAACAUUCAGGGCACUGCGUGAAGGUUUUUCUGGUUUUUGGUUUUUUGUGCCCCUGCUCCCUUAUCAGUUUAGAGAAAGGUUAUUCUCUCUUAUUAACCUGCAUUUAUGGAGCACCUGCUUGGAACAAGUUACCAUGCUAAGCAUUAUGGAACCUUAGAAGGGAUAAUAAAAAGUGUCCCUUCUUUAAAAUAGUUUACUAGAUACUUGCUAAAGAUGAUAUGUAUAAAAAAUGCUAAAUUUCUAAAAAUAAGCCCUUGACUUUAGAGAGAACAACUUGGUAGAAACAAAAGUAGCCAACUCUUGCAGGCACAUUCUUCUGUCCUGAGGUUCUUCUCUGGCUAAAAGUCCAGUUGCUGCCAUUCUGAGUGGAGAAACCGUUCUCCCUUUAGCUCAAUGGCCUGAUUAUGGCCGUCUUAUCUUUUGUUUAAUUAUUCAUAGUGUAAUUGAAGUAAAGCUUGUAUAUUUAAAUGUGGUUUAUUAGCAGCUAAGAGACAACAAAAGAGAAAUAAACACAUGCGCACACACACACAACCAUGGCACAAGAUUGUGUGCCUUGGAAAGUGUGUGUGCUACUGUCUUGUGCUCUUGGCUUUCUUUAUCAAUAGAAAUUUAUAAGAGGCCAGACAGGAGAAUUCAGGCAUGGCUUUACUGGGGCCCCUGCUGCAGCAGUGCGGGGAGCAAAAAGCAACAAGUUUCCUUGCUUGCUUGCUCUCUAGGGGGUGGGGUGUACAAGCUGGUUCCUUAUAUGGGAUGAGGGUAAGGGUGGGUCCAGGGCCAGAGAGGUGGCUUAGGUGAUCUGCCCACCCCUUUGGUGGUAUUGUGUGCAGGGAGCAUGCAUAGUACACUGUUUUUGCUCCCAAUAACCUGCUUUUGCUCAGUUGGGUUUUUAGGCUUUUUGUAUCUUCUUGCCCAUGAUUUGCCCUAGCUGCACUGUAGGCAGUUAUUUUUAGUCCCUUAGAGUUUCUUUGUAUUUUGUUGCUGGAGAUGUUUGUCCAGGUGCAAGCAUUGCAGCCUAUGCCCCAAAGGGUCCCAGGUCCCAGCCGGUCCCAGGUCCCAGCCGGUCCCAUGUGCAUUUAUCUUCAGCUUGGGGAGGUGCCUCCCUAUAAGCUCUUACUCUCACUUUAUCUGGAAGUGAGGCUCAAGGACUUCUGACUUCAGCAGCCAAUAACAGAAUGAUCACAAUUUGGGGCUUUGAGUUCAGAUAGAUAGGACGUCAAAUCCCAGUUUGGCUACAUACCUGUGUAGAUUUGAACCAGCAAAUAUCAAUUGUCUUUUGGAUAAUAGCAUUAAUAUUGUGUCCCUCACCAGGUAGUUUAUGAAAUUAGGAGAAGUGACAAGUACUUAGCACACUGCUGAGCUGAGGUGCACAAUACAUGGGAAUUAUUAUCAUCAGCAAAAUAAUCACAGUCAUUUCAAAGCCAUAAAAGAUGACAAGACCCAGAGUGACUGAAGUUACCUCAUUAUUUGCCUAAAGUCUGACAUCUCAAUUUUCAUUUUCUAGCUCAAAACCAGUCUCAUCCUAACUAACUGGCACCAGCAAAGUCUGCUCCCAUCAAAAAGAAAAAACAACAAAAAACAAAACUGUGCUUGUGGCAUUCUCUUGUGGCAUAGUGAGUUGAGGAUCCAACAUUGUUACUGAAGCAGCUUGGGUCACUGCUGUGAUUUGGGUCCCCUCCCUAGCCUGGGAACUUCCACAUGCCAUGGGCCCAGCCAAAAAAAAAAAAAAAACCCACUAUAUUUGCACUUAGCAACAGGCCUACUACCAGGUGUGAGCCCGACAGUUCACUCAAUAAGAUACACUAAACACACAAUCAUACAUGACAUAUACUAAUCAGAGAUAAUUUAGUUACAAAAGGAUGAACAAAUGAUUAAGAGACACUUCAAAGUGCUAAAUAAUUAACAAACAUUGAGAGAAAUGUUAAUAAGUGUUUGCUUUUGAAAAAGCCUCUUUCAUCAAAUGUUUCAGAAAUCCUGAUUUUAAGAAGGUAAAAAGUUUAUUAGUGCAAGGCUAAUCAUAAUUUAUAAUAAGCUAUGGAACUUCAAUAGUGAAUGUAUAAUUUGUACUAUUUCUCUAAUGCUGGACUUUAACAAAGAUGUUACUCUUUUUCAGUGUUGGUAAGGAUAGUUCAAGAACUAAUUAUCAGAGUUCCCAUCAUGGCUCAGCAGUAUCGAACCCAACUAGUAUACCAUGAAGAUGCAGGUUCGAUCCCUGGCCUUGCUCAGUGGGUUAAGGAUCCGGCAUUGCCAUGUGCUAUGAUGUAGGUCACAAAUGUGGCUCAGAUCCCGUGCUGCUGUGGCUGUGGUGUAGGCCAGCAGUUGUGGCUCCGGCUCCGAUUUGACCCCUAGCCUGGGAACUUCCAUAUUCCACGGAUGUGGCCCUAAAAAGCAAAAAAAAAAAAAAAAAAAAAAA
rnacentral:lncRNA from 1 species